rnacentral:lncRNA from 1 species
GGGACAUUUGUAUUUGCUGCAAAGUGGAAUGGAGUCAUUUUCCUGCAUGAUUCUACAGAGGCUGAACAUGGUGUAAUUGGGAAUAAUAGCCAGAAAACGCGUCUAGCUGUCCUUCUUUCCAUGGAGUGGGCAUUUAGUGGAGUCAAGCCUCGCAAGGAGCACAGCUCAGGGGAAGUACGGAAGAUUUGUGUCUUCAGUCCUAUCCAGCUGUGGCCCAACGGCCUGGACACAGAGCAGGCAGAUCUGGCCAUAGGAUCCAAGUCCUUCUAAGUCAAGGACCUUUACCCAUGCUGUUGGCUUUAUAUGAAAUGUUUUUCCUCCCUUACUUCAGAUCCCUGCCAAAGCCUUGCCAGAGAGCCUUCCUUGAUUUCCCAGAGACCAGCCUUACCGCUAGAGGGCUCUGCUUGUAAAGGCUCUUGCCCUCAAGCCUGAUGACCUAGGUGUUGGAAGGAGAGAAUUCCUGCAAAUUGUCCUCCGACCUCCAAGUGUGCGCUGUGGCACAGAGACAUAGUCCAUGACCAUCAUGGCUGGAAAGCAGACAGACAUGAGACUGGGGCAGUAGCUGAGAACUUUACAUCUUGCCCAAAGGCAGCAGGCAGGCAGAGAGAGAGAGAGAGAAAGAGCAUGGCAUGGGCUUUUGAAACUUCAAAGCCCAGCCCCAGUGCACAUUUCUUCUAACAAUGUCACGUCUCCUUCAGUGAGGCCAUACCUCCUAAUCUUUGUCAAACAGUUCUGCUAACUGGGUACCAAAGACUCAGAUAUUAGCCUACGGGGACCAUUCUCCUUCAAAUCACCACAGCUGGUUUCCUAGGCAGAAAAUGCCUCCCACACAGGAAGAAGGCCUGAAGCAGAAGAAUCAUGAGCUCAGAGUUAGCUUGGGCUAUCCAGAAAGCUCAAAGACAACCAGAGCUACAUAGUGAGAUUGAUAGGUGCCUCAGUUAUAAAAACAGCAUUUCUGUGAGGUUACAACUGGCCAUGGUCAAGCCAUUAUCAUGCCUGAAAGGAAGUGUUUUGCUGAAACAACCUAUCCAGGAAGAUAGUCUUUGACUGAGCAGACAAUACCAGGAAGGAC